UACAGAGGGGGCAAGCGUUAUUCGGAAUUAUUGGGCGUAAAGGGCGCGUAGGCGGCUUGGCAAGUGGAAGGUGAAAUCCCUCGGCUUAACCGAGGAACUGCCCUCCAAACUGCUUUGCUUGAGGCCGGGAGAGGCGAGUGGAAUUCCCAGUGUAGCGGUGAAAUACGUAGAGAUUGGGAAGAACACCAGUGGCGAAGGCGGCUCUCUGGGACGGUACUGACGCUGAGACGCGAAAGCGUGGGGAGCGAACAGG
rnacentral:rRNA from 1 species